ensembl:lncRNA
ACACACUCCGGUUCUUUUAAGUGCUUUCCAGCACUUGUUGGGCAGAUUAUGGAAAUAGCCUUUUUCCUUGUAUUUUGCUCUGCUGGACCAAGUUCAGCCCUCUUUUCUAGGCCAGCUGGCUUGUGAGUGCCAGAACAGUUGAACUUGAUUCAGGCAGUGGCAAGAGCUUGAUAAAAUGAAACCUGCAUAUCUCACCAAUGCCAGACAGCACCUUGUUGGCAGAUGAGCACCUGGAGGCUCAGAGUCAGUGGGCUCUGGGCAAGGUGGUCCUCUGUAGAGGUGCCCAUGGGAAGCCCUCCCCACUGAGUCCUGUCUGGGUUUGUGGUAGUCCUCACAGGCUCCUCAAAACUUGGGGAAAAGCAGCUGCCCUGCAACAUGGAACAUGCAUGCACAUGCAUCUUGGAGGAACUGUAUUGUAAGGGCAAGUGACAGGCAGGGAGCAGGCUUGUGGGGUACAGCUAGGAGGAGCAGGUCUUGUGCCAACAAUGUGACACUUCCGAGGAACGAUUUGAAGGUACAGUUAUAUGCUGGAAUGGCUAGAAUCACAAGCAGCAAGAUGUUUUCUGGGGAAACAUGCAGCAAAGGGUGUGCCGUGCACUGCAAACGCUCAGCUCACGAUGUGUGUGAAGGGAGGAAACCUUAGUGAAACCUCUGGCUCCUGCUUACUGGGUGCUGACCUUGCUCAACCGUAGUAUCCCAGAACAGAGGCACCAGCCAUGCUUGUAAUUACCAUAUCACACAACCACAUAGAUUUAUUAUUUACACACACGCUUUAUUGGCAUUCAUUACAAGCUGUUAAUGAGGUGUCAGUUUUAAUGGCAGCCAUGAAGCUAAUGAGCAAGAGGUGGAAGGAUCCUGCCUGAGCACAGCUGCCCUGAGACCACUCAGUGUUCCCUGGGACCCCCAGCUCCCAUCCUUUCCCCCAAGAGACCCAGCAGUGCCCCUCAGCAUUGUCCUGCUGAGGCUCAGCUGAGGGAUGCAUGCAGGAUGAGGCCACUGCUGGCAGGAUGAGGCGGUGCCGUCAGGACAAGCCCUUGCCAGCAGCGUGAGGCCAUGCUGGCAGCUCCUUGCCCUGCAGAUUUGCAAGGUUUGGGCUCAUCCCAGCCCGCUUUCAGGGAUGCAGCACAACAGAUGCAAGGCAGGCACCACUAGUAGAAGCUGCCAUUCUUUCGGCCUUGGGCUCUUUACAAGCAGUGGCCUUCUUGAGAGUCACCCGGCGUUUGGCCAGAUCCCCAGUGGCUUUGCACAUUCCUUUUCUUUCUCUGAAUGAAUGGUCUAAUCUGGCUGGAGGGCAUUGCAAGGCCCAAUAGCCAGUUUGCUGCACCUGCUCAUCAAAGAUUGAAACACCUGCCCUGGUCGGGGCUUAGCAUUUAAGUGCUGCUAUUUGAAGACAAAUCUUGUCUUUUGUCUGCCUGAGCCUUGUCCCAUGCCCCCC